CUACGGAGGGAGCAAGCGUUAUUCGGAAUCACUGGGCGUAAAGGACGCGUAGGUGGGUUUGUAAGUCAGGUGUGAAAUCCUACAGCUCAACUGUAGAACUGCACUUGAAACUACAGACCUAGAGUAUGGAAGGGGCAGAUGGAAUUAGUGGUGUAGGGGUAAAAUCCGUAGAUAUCACUAGGAAUACCGAAGCGAAGGCGAUCUGCUGGGACAUUACUGACGCUGAGGCGUGAAAGCGUGGGGAGCAAACAGGAUUAGAAACCCCUGUAGUCC
rnacentral:rRNA from 1 species